AACCCAUUCUCACUCCAAAGGCGUCAAAAACCGAAGCAUGGUCAAGCGCACCUAGCAUCACUUUUAUGACGCCAAAUGUGCCUCUCGGCGUCGAAAUAUCGACGCACUAAGACCUUCAUUGCUUUCAGUGGGAAACUUUUGGCGUCAGAAUUUCGAGGCGAGGACAUGAGAUGUUUAUCGCUAUGAAAUCACGUUCAAGAAGUCUCAUUCAGCACACAUCGCGAUACUUGCUAUCAGUUCCACAGUUUGGGUGAGUAACGUUAAGGCCAGUCAGCCCAGUGGUGUUUCUGGAGAGGUAUUCCUUCAGAAAUGGAGAAGACAGAAAGUUGCGGAGGCAGACAUUUGCAGCAUGUUCGAGUGUGCAUGAUGACCAUAAGUGUGUGUCGAACUUUUCAUGACCUGAUGACUGUGUUUCCCAAUCCUGAUCCUGGAGAACCCCAGCACUGCACGGUUUUGGUGUCUCUCUUAUCUGACAAACACACUUUUAAGGCCUUGGAGUCUUCACUGAUGAGCUGAUGAGUUGAAUCAGGUCUACAAUAUCGAGCUCAACAGCUCUUUAAAGAGCCAACCCACACAAACCUUCCUAAAAACUAAAAGAGCUAUUACUGAGUCUCAGCGAAUCUUGCCAUGAUCAGCUCUUCCCAGAAGAGAAGGAAGACCAAGGACAAUAUUUGCUCAGGAUGAGAAAUGAAGACGGCCAUCUUGUGCUCAAACAAACAGAAGUCCUCUGAUGAUCUCAUCAGCCAAAUGAGGGGUUUUGACCAAGUGAUGCUCUUGAAAGGAGUGAAAGAAGAGGAUGUGGUAAAUUGUCUUCAGAGAAAAAGCUUCUCAAAAGGUCUUAAAACAGCUUGAAGAAUGGUCUGGGAUGUUAGGACUGAGAGAUCCUCUGGCUGAGAACAAGCUACACCACAUCAGUGCUGGAUAUCAACCACAAACUGUUUCCAGACACGAGAAGAAGAUCAUGAUGGGGAGAUGAAACCAGUUUAGAUGUGAUGAUAAGGAAUCAUUGUUUUCUGGA